rnacentral:rRNA from 1 species
UUGACGGGACCCGCACAAGCGGUGGAUGAUGUGGAUUAAUUCGAUGCAACGCGAAAACCUUACUACCCUUGACAUGUCCGGAAUCCCGAAGAGAUUUGGGAGUGCUCGCAAGAGAGCCGGAACACAGGUGCUGCAUGGCUGUCGUCAGCUCGUGUCGUGAGAUGUUGGGUUAAGUCCCGCAACGAGCGCAACCCUUGUCAUUAGUUGCCAUCAUUUGGUUGGGCACUCUAAUGAGACUGCCGGUGACAAACCGGAGGAAGGUGGGGAUGACGUCAAGUCCUCAUGGCCCUUAUGGGUAGGGCUUCACACGUCAUACAAUGGUCGGUACAGAGGGUUGCCAACCCGCGAGGGGGAGCUAAUCCCACAAAGCCGAUCGUAGUCCGGAUCGCAGUCUGCAACUCGACUGCGUGAAGUCGGAAUCGCUAGUAAUCGUGGAUCAGCAUGUCACGGUGAAUACGUUCCCGGGUCUU